rnacentral:lncRNA from 1 species
AGAGUAAGCAGUGUGUUAUUCAGACUUCUUGAAGAUGCACCUAUUAUUAUUGAUGAGCGAUGAACUGAGUGUGUAAUGGAAGGCAAAUAGGAGGCAACCAAGUCUUCUAAGGCAUAAUAGAAAUUGGGGUAGGGAAGUCUGCCUAGGUCCUCCUUGAAAGGUUGGUCCUGAUGGACAAGCUCGCCUCUAAGUGAAGGGUCAUAUAUUGGACCCAUGUAGUGUUUGGUUCCGGUUAGCAAAGUGACAUGCCUGAGCCUUGAAGGGGCAGCGGGUUUGAGUGCAUUAAGCACGUUGGCUAGCAUGGUGGAGUUCAUGGAGAUGUUUACUUCUUCAUUUCCAUGGUGUUGCAUGGAAACCCAGAAGACGUGGGUGAUCUCAUGAGCCACAGGUGAGAGAUAUGAAACCGUCGACCAAGAAAGCGGGAAACCAUCUUGGCAAGGGACGCCUCGCUAUGCCAUACACCUUCCACGGCCUGCCUGGAGUUGUUGGCUUCUGCAGAUCCUCAGCCAAGCUAAAUCCUGCCAAGCCAGUUAUACCCACAAUCAGGGCAACUGAUGCAUCUGAAGAGUUUUCUCUCUCCAUAAAGAAUGCCCAAUUAUGUUUCUUUUUGGCCCUAGCAUUGCACUGAGAUAUCAUUGAAGAUAAGAAAUCCUCCCCAUCUUGUUUUUUUUUUUUUUAAUUUCUGACCAUAUAUACAUCCUCAGAAAUUGACCAUACAUCCUUGGAAUAAACAACGGGAAUUCUGUGGCUAUGGAAUGCUAUGCUAUCUACAAGAAGAAUAAUUAAAGCAUUUUUCUAGAUAUACUGAGCAUGCUUUUGAAAGUAUCCUGUAACAUUGUUUUCUAAUAUAUUAAAAUAUAUUUUUAAUAUUAAUAUAUUAGAAUAAUCUAAAAAAAUAUAUAAAAAAUUAAUUGAAAACUAAAAAAAAUCAAAAAUAUUUUAGAAGACAAUGCCAAAAUAUAAUGAUCGAUCGCUUUACAACUUGGAUAUGAUGAAAUGCAGCCAAACCCCACUUGAAAUGAAUGGCCUGAAAUCGAGUUUGAAUUGUUAAAAUGCCCUAUAAUUAUUUAAUCCAACAACAUAUAAACCAGAUCAAAAUGUAACAUCAGCCCAGCAAAAUUGGAUGGAGAUAGUCUUCUAUGUCAGGCUCAAUUUCUAUUUUUUUUUCUUUUUUCUUUUUCAUUAAAACAAAAAAAACUUCUUAUGUUAAUAUAUAAUUAAUCAUAAAAUAAUUGUUAAUAUUGUCAUAAAGCUAUAAUCUUCUCGAAUACCAUGACAUAAUUAGAAUAGUUUUAAAAUCCGGUCCAACCCGACAUGUUAAUUCGGGACCCGGCUGACCCGGGGUUGGAACCGGGCCGAAUUUAAGAAAAAAUAAGAGAAGUAAAAAAUUCGGGUGACCUGACAAGUUGACCGGCCUGGUUAAAAACCUGGUUGCAACCCAUUGACUAUUUUUUUUUACCAAAACAAUAUCGUUUUGAUUUAUAUAAACAACUGGGUUGACCUGAGUGACUCGAUGACCCGAUGACCCGAUCUAAACCUGGUGACCUAGGUCUUGAGUUGAGUCGAUUAUCAGACCGGGUUUAAAAACUCUGAUAAUUAGAAGCUUUAUUAACUAUUAUUAUUUUAAUAAAUUUAUUUUUAAGAGAAUUUUAUUUUAAAAUCAAUAAAAAAAAUGGCUCUUUAAGAAAAGAAAGGCACACUUAAGUAUGGGAGGAAACUGGAAAAGUUUGUGCGCAUGAGAUCGGAAGGCCACAUCCAUCUGCCUAGGUUUGUUUCUCUCUCUUUGUUUUUUGUUUUUUUCAUACAAAACAUCGUCUAUGUAAACACUCAACUUAACACUGGUAUAUCAGUACUAAAAAAGACAAUUUUUGAUAGAGAAAUGAUAAUUAAAAAGAAAAAUUUGCUAUAGAUGGGGAUGAAAACCUUUAGAAAUUUAAUUUAAAUUUCAGAUGAAAUAAAAUAAUGAAUAAAAUAAUGAAAUAUUAACCUUGGCUAAAAUAAUUAUUUAAAGAAUUUUUUUAUAAAUUGGGGAGGAAAACAAUGAUAAUAGAGUAUAAUUCUAAGAAAAAUAAUGUAUGACUUUACGUGCAAAAAAACAUUGAUUUUUGAUAUAAAUUUCACAUACAAUCACGCUAUUUUGACUGGAAAUACUGAAAACUCUAAGUAAAUUCUUGUGAUGAUUAUAUAUUGAUGAAAAUCAUCAAUGAAUUAGUUUAAAAAUCAUGGGAAUAUAAGUAAAUAAAAUGAUACGUAAAAGUUUGAAUUUUUUAUAUAAAAUUAUCUAAUAUUUAAUUUCAUAGUACCAAUUAUAUUUACUGUUGAAUUAGAUUGAAAUAAUAUAAGUAGUCUCCAUUAUAAUUUGAGUUAGAUUUUCAAUCGUGGUUGUAAAAACUUGAAAUGAAUGAAAAUGAACAUUUGAGCAAAUGAGAAACAUAAAAGAUUAAGCAGUGGCCAAGAAUGUAAUAAAUAAAAAUUAGAAUCCUAAACCUAAUAGAAAAACAACAUAAAAUUUAUAAUUUAACUAGAAAUCAAUAGAGAAAAAAAAAUAGCAUUUAAUGAAAACCAUUGCAUCAUUAAUUAGUUACACUAUUGUAUUAUUUUUCUUACAUUGAGAAGAAACAAGCUAAGCAUGGAUUGGAGUGGACAUCAUCUUCAUGGUAUGAUUUUCAUGUCCCUCAGUCUCCCCACCCACAUUGGAAUACUCUUUAGUGUAUCAGCAAACCCUAGAAACCCAGAUUCUCUACUCUUGUUCAUGCUACAGACAUGUUGAAACCCAAAAUGCAAACCCACAUUAAGUGCUUCAAAACAAGUAAUAUCUUCCAUCUUAGUCUCAAACAGCCCGAAUUUCUCAACAAUCUCAUCCCACACUUUGCCUUUACCCUUUAUCAUCCCCAGCCAAUCAAACUUCUCCUCAUUCUCUUCAAAGGCCACAAACUCAACAUCAAAGACCUCACACAGGACUCCCCAUAAACUCUUCCACGUAAAAACAUCACCGUUUGUGCAAUUGAAGGCUUGAUUCUUAGCCCCCUCAGUCACUGCUGCCCAUAUUUGUUGCUCAGCUAGCAUCCUUGCAUCAGACACGUCACAGAAGUGCUCCCAUGUAUAUUUGUUCCCAGGGUAUCGAAAUGGUAACCCCUGGUAUCGACAAAUUGUAGCAUAAACAGAUAGAGUAAGCAGUGUGUUAUUCAGACUUCUUGAAGAUGCACCUAUUAUUAUUGAUGAGCGAUGAACUGAGUGUGUAAUGGAAGGCAAAUAGGAGGCAACCAAGUCUUCUAAGGCAUAAUAGAAAUUGGGGUAGGGAAGUCUGCCUAGGUCCUCUUUGAAAGGUGGCUCCUGAUGGACAAGCUGGCCUCUAAGUGAAGGGUCAAAUAUCGGACCCAUGUAGUGUUUGGUUCCGGUUAGCAAAGUGACAUGUCUGAGCCUUGAAGGGGCAGUGGAUUUGAGUGCAUUAAGCACGUUGGCUAGCAUGGUGGAGUUCAUGGAGAUGUUUACUUCUUCAUUUCCAUGGUGUUGCAUGGAAACCCAGAAGACGUGGGUGAUCUCAUGGGCCACAG